rnacentral:lncRNA from 1 species
GUUUGGGGCAUGUUUGUUUCAACAUAAAUAGACUUGGGGUGGAAGUGGACUUUGGGUUGAAGUGGAGUUUAGGUGAAAAUUAAUUCACUUUCGCUGUUUGUUUCUAACUGUGGAAGUGCAGUUCUGUGAGUUCUGUUGUUUGUUUGGUAGGAAGUAGAUGACGUAAAAAGUGUAGCUCCCCACCCUUGGUAUACUUACCUCCGAAGUGAUAUUAUUGUCUAUUUUGUAACUUAGUGAAUAAUAAAUUAUAAUAAAUAAAAAUUAAUAUAAUUAUAUAUGUUAUGUAUAUAAUUAUAUAUAUGUAUAAUUAUAAAAUAAAAUUUUAAAAAAUUAUUUUAUUUGUUUGUAUAUAAAUUAUAAUAAUGCAACAAAUAAAAUUCUAAAGUUAAAAAAUUAUUAACAUUUAACAAAUUCAUUUUUCAUCAUUUUCUAAAUAUACAAAUUAGACAAAAAAAAUAUAUUAAAACUUACCUAACCAAAUUUGAUCACAUUACCUAACCAAGUUUAACAAGCUCCUUUGCCUCUUUGCACUUCACCGGAAUUGACUUUGCCCCGUGGGAGGGCGAAGUCAAUUACCCUAUUUUGGGUGAACUCGACUUUCGGCCGUAAUAAAAUUACGGCAAAACAAACAACGGAAGUGAUAGUUUACGGCGUAAACAACUUCCCCCCUCUCCACUUCCCCCUCACUUUCACCCAAACAGACAUACCCUUGGCGUUUCCAUAAAGGGCUCUAGGUGACACUUUUCUAUUA